GAUCAUGGCUCAGGAUGAACGCUGGCGGCGUGCUUAACACAUGCAAGUCGAACGGAGUUUUUAACGGAAGUUUCGGAUGGAAGUUAGAACUUAGUGGCGGACGGGUGAGUAACGCGUGGGUAACCUGCCUCAGUACAGGGGGAUAACAGUUAGAAAUGACUGCUAACACCGCAUAAUAUAGCGAAACCGCAUGAUUUUUGCUAUCAAAUAUUUAUAGGUAUGAGAUGGGCCCGCGUCUGAUUAGCUAGUUGGUGGGGUAAAAGCCUACCAAGGCGACGAUCAGUAGCCGGCUUGAGAGAGUGACCGGCCACAUUGGGACUGAGACACGGCCCAAACUCCUACGGGAGGCAGCAGUGGGGAAUAUUGGACAAUGGGGGAAACCCUGAUCCAGCGAACCGCCGCGCGAGUGAAGAAGUAUUUCGGUAUGUAAAGCUCUAUCAGCAGGGAAGAUAAUGACAGUACCUGACUAAGAAGCCCCGGCUAACUACGUGCCAGCCGCUGC
rnacentral:rRNA from 1 species